CAUAACCUGACUUGUGCGUAGAGACUUUCAUGGUUUUGAUCCUAUUAAUGACACGGGAACUAAAUGCUAAGUUAGUACAACAUGCCCUUUUCCUUUCGGAACUAGGGAAGUUGGAAAGCUUAGACUAAGUGCCCACCUGCGAAAGCGGGGUCAGAAACCUGAAAUCUUACGGCAAGUUGGGCAAGGG
rnacentral:other from 1 species